rnacentral:tRNA from 1 species
GGCCUUGUGGCGGAGUGGUUAUACGCGGCGGUCUGCAAAACCGCUUACACCGGUUCAAUUCCGGUCAAGGCCU